GGGGUUGUGGCUCAGAGGAACAGUGCUUGCUUAGCAUGCAUGAGGCAUUGGGUUCGAUCCUCAACAUCA
rnacentral:tRNA from 1 species